rnacentral:misc_RNA from 1 species
AAGGAUCAUUAUAGUAUAUGGAAUCUCCAUUCUAUAAACCCACUCUGUGUAUCUUGUAACUGUUGCUUCCAUGGGACUUGGUCCUGCCACACCGGCUUCACGGCUGGUGAGCGCCCAUGGGAGGAGAAACAAAACUCUUCUUUGAAAUGUAGUCAGUCUGAACAAGUUUUUAUAAACGUUAAAACUUUCAACAACGGAUCUCUUGGUUCUC